rnacentral:rRNA from 1 species
CUAUGCGCCUUGCCAGCCCGCUCAGUCAGAGUUUGAUCCUGGCUCAGAACGAACGCUGGCGGCAUGCCUAACACAUGCAAGUCGAACGAGACCUUCGGGUCUAGUGGCGCACGGGUGCGUAACGCGUGGGAAUCUGCCCUUGGGUUCGGGAUAACAGUUGGAAACGACUGCUAAUACCGGAUGAUAUCUUCGGAUCAAAGAUUUAUCGCCCAGGGAUGAGCCCGCGUAGGAUUAGCUUGUUGGUGAGGUAAAAGCUCACCAAGGCGACGAUCCUUAGCUGGUCUGAGAGGAUGAUCAGCCACACUGGGACUGAGGCACGGACCAG